rnacentral:tRNA from 1 species
GGGGUUGUAGCUCAGUGGUAGAGCCCUCACCUGGCACAUGUGAGGCACUGGGUUCAAUCCUCAGCACCA